CAGCCACCGCGGUAAUACAGAGGGUGCGAGCGUUAAUCGGAUUUACUGGGCGUAAAGCGUGCGUAGGCGGCUUCUUAAGUCGGAUGUGAAAUCCCUGAGCUUAACUUAGGAAUUGCAUUCGAUACUGGGAAGCUAGAGUAUGGGAGAGGAUGGUAGAAUUCCAGGUGUAGCGGUGAAAUGCGUAGAGAUCUGGAGGAAUACCGAUGGCGAAGGCAGCCAUCUGGCCUAAUACUGACGCUGAGGUACGAAAGCAUGGGGAGCAAACAGGAUUAGAUACCCGAGUAGUCCCUGUCUCUUAUAC
rnacentral:rRNA from 1 species